UACAGAGGGGGCAAGCGUUAUUCGGAAUUAUUGGGCGUAAAGGGCGCGUAGGCGGCCGUGCAAGUGGAAGGUGAAAUCCCUCGGCUCAACCGAGGAACUGCCUUUCAAACUGCUUGGCUUGAGUCCGGGAGAGGUGAGUGGAAUUCCCAGUGUAGCGGUGAAAUGCGUAGAUAUUGGGAGGAACACCAGUGGCGAAGGCGGCUCACUGGACCGGAACUGACGCUGAGGCGCGAAAGCUAGGGGAGCAAACAGG
rnacentral:rRNA from 1 species